rnacentral:tmRNA from 2 species
GGGCCCGACCGGAAUUGACAGGAUGGAGAUAGGUAUGUAAGCAUGCAGCGCGUUGUGAGACUAGCGCUUAAAUCUGAACUCUCAAACCACAAUUGGCGAAAAUAACUACGCCUUAGCUGCCUAAUUUAGAAUUAGCAUAGCUUUUGUCCCGCUAGGUUCCGCUUUGUAGCUUAGCACCAGGGGCAUCGAACAACAAAGCUGGCCAGGGUUUAAUGGUGUGAUAACCCGGCAAGAUAAGACACCUACGGAAGAAGGUACAGGCGAGCGGUUGGCCUUCCCCUUCCCGACAAUAAAAUAACUGCUAAGCACGUAGAAAGCAUAAUUUGUCCCAUGUUUGGACGAGAGUUCGAAUCUCUCCGGGUCCACUU